rnacentral:lncRNA from 1 species
GGGGUAUUUCCGACGCGUUGGUGCGCUCGGAUUAACGUUACGAAAAGCCGAUGAAAGGUUAUGGGCAAAAUGGCCUAAUAAGGGUUCGUUAUGCCGCAGGUAAAGAAAGAAACGUCUAAAAAUCCCGAGAAAAUCGUCGGAGCACCUAAAGAGACCUACGAGGUGGGUGGUGCUUUUCAAACUCAUUGAAAUUCUCUCUAUGCCUAAUGUGUCAUUCUUUGAGCAUAUGUUCUAUAUAUUGUUGCAUGCAUUUUAGGGUAAAGUAAUGAUGAAAUGUGAUAAUUGCAUGAUUGUGAGCACAACUUGCAUAAUGAGAUGGUUGAGAACCAAAUGAAUGUCGAAAACCCUAGAUGUAUGCAUGAGAGAAAAUGUGAGCACCCAAAGUGAGCAAAAGAACAGAGUGACACAAUGACAUAGAUCGAGUGGCAUUCGAUAAAGCUAAUGUGAAAUGACACUAGAGUUAGUGUGUUGUAAAGAACUAAAGUGAUGUAAAGAAUGAAGAAAGUGACAAAGUGUAAAGUUAAAGUAAAGUGGCCAAUAAGAACAAGAAUGCUAGAGUUAGCAAGAGUAAUGAAAAUGCAAAGAAUGUGAUUGCAUGAGUUUGCAACAUAAAGUGAUGUAAAGAACACUAGAGCUAGUGUAAAGUCAAGAUUGAACUUAUAAUCCUUUGAGUUAAGGAUAUGAUCAUACUUGCUAUGAGUUCCGUGCUCGAGGGCGGUCGCUCCCCCUCGGGCGAUGCGCUCCGGAGUUAUGCAUCCGGGUUGGAGUAGACCCGUAAGGACGGUCCUAGCUGGUGAGUUCCUGCGAUGAUGGACUUAAUGUGAAGCAAGUCAAUGCGGCGAAACCCCCGGGCUAGCCUUAAUGAUUAAAGAGCAAAGAGUAAAGAACAAAGUGUAAAGUGCAAAGAACUAAAGAACAUGCAUAACCUGCAUUUAUUUAAUGUUGAGCAUACUUCUUGCUUUUGUUCAGGCAUAUUAGCAUCAUGUAUUAGUUGGUUACUACUUUACCUAUCCUUUCUAUUAUGCCUGAGUUAGUCCUAGUGGGAAAGUCGGUGAUGUUGAGGCCGAACCCACUGGGAACUUUGUUGUAGUUCUCACCCCACUAUUUCCACAGAGCCGGGACCGAGCGAGCCGGCGAGCGACCGCGGUAAAGGUAUCGCGCCUUAGUCAGAGGCCACCAAAGUUAGGUUACAUUUUGUAGUAAAGUUACCUUAUGAUCAUCUUUUGUAUUUGAUGAUUAGUGAUGUAAAGAUAGAAUGUAAAGUUUAUUUUGAGGUAAAAAGGUGAUGUAAGAAAGACAUGACGAAAUGAUGUAAUGAAUGUAAGAAUUCGAUGAAUGUAAGAGAUGGAUGCAAUGUAUAUGAUCUAAAAUGAAUCAUAUUACUUGUGAAUGUUUAGUUUCCUUUUUCUUUCACUUAUGGCUAUUGCUUACUCUCGUGUAAGCCGUUUGUGUAUGUUUCCGCUAGUGCUUUUCUCUAAUGAUGAAAAUGUACGUGUGAUGAGCCUUGGGCGGAUAGGGGAAACUCUGUCCGUUCGGCGUCUGUUUGACGUGCUGG